GCGGGCGUGGCGGAAUUGGCAGACGCGCUGGAUUUAGGUUCCAGUAUCAAGCGAUGUAAGAGUUCAAAUCUCUUCGUCCGCACCA
rnacentral:tRNA from 2 species